rnacentral:rRNA from 1 species
GACGUAGGGCGCAAGCGUUGUCCGGAUUUAUUGGGCGUAAAGAGCUCGUAGGCGGCUCAUCGCGUCUGCCGUGAAACCCGCAGCUCAACUGCGGCUUGCGGUUGAUACGGUGGGCUGGAGUUCGGUAGGGAGACUGGAAUUCCUGGUGUAGCGGUGAAUGCGUAGAUAUCGAGAGGAACACCUGCGGCGAAGGCGGUUGCUGGCUGACACUGACGCUGAAGUGCGAAAGCUAGGGGAGCGAACGGG